CAGAACCGUUUCCUUUCCAAGAAAUCUGUGGAUGACAAAGCUGUUCACACGCCAACUUCACAGGACCCGGUCCUGGGUCCCUGUAUGCCCGGUGGGAUGCAACAAGAUGUCCACGCAACACCAGUCUGUAAUACGAUAAACCAUUUCCAUUACCAGAAAUGUCUAGAUGAUAAAGAUGUUCACACGCCAAGACCGUUCCUGGAUCCCUGUAUACCCGGUGGGGUAGAACAAAAUGUCCAAGUAAUUCC